rnacentral:tRNA from 1 species
GUAUGUGGUGUAAUGGUUUGAGCAUUGGACUACGACUCUGGAGGCCAGGGUUCAAAUCCCUGCUUAGCCG